rnacentral:rRNA from 1 species
AUACGGAGGAUCCGAGGGUUAUCCGGAUUUAUUGGGUUUAAAGGGUGCGCAGGCGGGAGAUUAAGUCGGCGGUGAAAUUUUGCAGCUUAACUGUAAAAGUGCCUUCGAAACUGGUUUCCUUGAGUGUAGAUGAAGUAGGCGGAAUUUGUGGUGUAGCGGUGAAAUGCAUAGAUAUCACGAGGAACUCCGAUUGCGAAGGCAGCUUACUAAGCUACAACUGACACUGAAGCACGAAAGCGUGGGGAUC